rnacentral:rRNA from 1 species
CUGUCCCUAGUACGAGAGGACCGGGAUGGACACACCACUGGUGGACCUGUUGUUGCGCCAGCAGCAGUGCAGGGUAGCUAUGUUCGGACAGGAUAACCGCUGAAGGCAUCUAAGCGGGAAGCCCCCCUCAAAACAAGGUAUCCCCGAGGGCCGUGGUAGACCACCACGUCGAUAGGCCGGAGAUGUAAGCAG